CUACGGGUUGCAGCAGUGGGGAAUAUUGGACAAUGGGGGAAACCCUGAUCCAGCAAUGCCGCGUGUGUGAAGAAGGCCUGCGGGUUGUAAAGCACUUUCGGUUGGGAGGACUGCUUCUAGCACUAAUAUUGUUGGAAGUUGACGUUACCUUCAGAAGAAGCACCGGCUAACUCCGUGCCAGCAGGCCGCGGUAAUACGGAGGGUGCAAGCGUUAAUCGGAAUUACUGGGCGUAAAGCGCGCGUAGGCGGCUAGAUCAGUCGGGUGUGAAAGCCCCGGGCUUAACCUGGGAACUGCAUCCGAUACUGUCUAGCUUGAGUACAGGAGAGGAGAGUGGAAUUCCACAUGUAGCGGUGAAAUGCGUAGAUAUGUGGAGGAACACCAAUGGCGAAGGCAGCUCUCUGGCCUGAUACUGGCGCUGAGGUGCGAAAGCGUGGGGAGCAAACAGGAUUAGAUACCCGAGUAGUC
rnacentral:rRNA from 1 species